AUUGAACGCUGGCGGCAUGCUUUACACAUGCAAGUCGAACGGUAACAGGUUAAGCUGACGAGUGGCGAACGGGUGAGUAAUGCAUCGGAACGUGCCCGGUCGUGGGGGAUAACGCAGCGAAAGCUGCGCUAAUACCGCAUACGAUCUGAGGAUGAAAGCGGGGGACCGUAAGGCCCCGCGCGAUCGGAGCGGCCGAUGUCAGAUUAGGUAGUUGGUGGUGUAAAGGCUCACCAAGCCGACGAUCUGUAGCUGGUCUGAGAGGACGACCAGCCACACUGGGACUGAGACACGGCCCAGACUCCUACGGGAGGCAGCAGUGGGGAAUUUUGGACAAUGGGCGCAAGCCUGAUCCAGCAAUGCCGCGUGCAGGAAGAAGGCCUUCGGGUUGUAAACUGCUUUUGUACGGAGCGAAAAGGCUCUCUCUAAUACAGGGGGCUCAUGACGGUACCGUAAGAAUAAGCACCGGCUAACUACGUGCCAGCCGCCGCGGUAA
rnacentral:rRNA from 1 species